AGGGAUUGCCUCAGUAACGGCGAGUGAAGCGGCAACAGCUCAAAUUUGAAAUCUGGCUCCUUCGGGGUCCGAGUUGUAAUUUGCAGAGGAUGCGUCGGGUACGGGUCCCUACCGAGUUCCCUGGAACGGGACGCCAUAGAGGGUGAGAGCCCCGUCUGGUAGGAUACCCAGCCCAUGUGACGCUCCCUCGACGAGUCGAGUAGUUUGGGAAUGCUGCUCUAACGGGAGGUAUACUCCUUCCAAAGCUAAAUACCGGCUGGAGACCGAUAGCGCACAAGUAGAGUGAUCGAAAGAUGAAAAGCACUUUGAAAAGAGAGUCAAACAGCACGUGAAAUUGUUAAAAGGGAAGCACUCGCUACCAGACUUGGGUUUGGCGGUUCAACCGGGGCCACGCCCCGGGGCAUUCCGCCAGCUCAGGCCAGCAUCAGCUUUCCGUCGGGGGCAAAGACGUCGGGAAUGUGGCUCCCCUUCGGGGGAGUGUUAUAGCCCGGCGUGUCAUACCCUUCGGGGGGCUGAGGUACGCGCUUCUGCAAGGAUGCUGGCGUAAUGGUAGCUAGUGACCCGUCUUG
rnacentral:rRNA from 2 species